rnacentral:rRNA from 1 species
UACGGAGGGGGCCAGCGUUGUUCGGAAUCAUUGGGCGUAAAGGGCGCGUAGGCGGAUUCUUAAGUCGGUGGUGAAAGCCUGGAGCUCAACUCCAGAACUGCCUUCGAUACUGAGAGUCUUGAGUCCGGGAGAGGUGAGUGGAACUGCGAGUGUAGAGGUGAAAUUCGUAGAUAUUCGCAAGAACACCAGUGGCGAAGGCGGCUCACUGGCCCGGUACUGACGCUGAGGUGCGAAAGCGUGGGGAGCAAACAGG